UACGUAGGUGGCAAGCGUUGUCCGGAUUUACUGGGCGUAAAGAGCGCGUAGGCGGCCUUCUAAGUCGAACGUGAAAUCCCCGGGCUCAACCCGGGAACUGCGUCCGAUACUGGAAGGCUUGAAUCCGGGAGAGGGAUGCGGAAUUCCAGGUGUAGCGGUGAAAUGCGUAGAUAUCUGGAGGAACACCGGUGGCGAAGGCGGCAUCCUGGACCGGCAUUGACGCUGAGGCGCGAAAGCCAGGGGAGCAAACGGG
rnacentral:rRNA from 1 species